rnacentral:rRNA from 1 species
GAUGAACGCUGGCGGCGUGCCUAACACAUGCAAGUCGAACGAGCGAGAGAUGAAACCUAGUGAUUCUCGAGCGAGUGGCGGACGGGUGAGUAACGCGUGGGUAACCUGCCUUACAGAGGGGGAUAACAGUCUGAAAAGACUGCUAAUACCGCAUAAGCACACAGUACCGCAUGGUACAGGGUGAAAAGAUUUAUCACUGUAAGAUGGACCCGCGUCUGAUUAGCCAGUUGGCAGGGUAACGGCCUACCAAAGCGACGAUCAGUAGCCGACCUGAGAGGGUGAUCGGCCACAUUGGGACUGAGACACGGCCCAAACUCCUACGGGAGGCAGCAGUGGGGGAUAUUGCACAAUGGAGGAAACUCUGAUGCAGCGACGCCGCGUGAGUGAAGAAGUAUUUCGGUAUGUAAAGCUCUAUCAGCAGGAAGAUAAUGACAGUACU